rnacentral:rRNA from 1 species
UGCAAAUCAAUAUAAAUUGAUAUAGAAUUUAUUUAUUAAUUUUUAUUUUAUUUAUUAUAAUUUAUUAAAAAUAAUUAUAUAAUUUAAUGUUUUAGUAAAUUUUAUUGAAAAAAUAAUUUUUAUAAUAGUUUAUUAUGUAUUGUAAAAGAAUAUUGAAAUAAUUUGAAAAAUUUUUAUUGAAAAAGAAAAUUUAAUUUAUUGUACCUUGUGUAUCAGGGUUUAUUAAAUAAUUAUAAAUAUUUUAUUUAUCUCGAUUUUAUAAGAGUUAAUGAUUUAUAAAAUUUAUUGUAUCAAAAUUAUUUUAAAUAAAUUAUUAGAAAUGAAAUGUUAUUCGUUUAUAAAGGUAUCUAGUUUUUUUAGAAAUAAAUUUAAUUUACAAAUUUUUAAUUUUUUAUUUAUUUAUUAAAAUAAAAAAAUUAUUAAUUUGAAUAUCUUAAGGGAUAAGCUUUAAGAUAAAUUAUUAAAAGUUAAUAAUAAUUUAAUUUAAAUGUAUGUGUAGAAUUAUCAAUCAUUUAUAAGUUUAUUAUAAAUUAUUUUAUGAUUUAUAAUAUUUAUUAUACUUUAAUUAUAUUUAUAAAAAUAUUUUCUUUAAUCAUUUAAGAUAAUAAAUAAUGAUAAAAUUAGUAUAUUUAAUUGUUUAAAUAAUUUAAUAUGAUAAGUUUAUUUAAAGAAUUCGGCAAAUUAAUAUACUCGCCUGUUUAACAAAAACAUGUCUUUUUGUAGUGUAUAAAAAGUCUGACCUGCCCACUGAAUAAAUUUAAAUGGCCGCAGUAUUCUAACUGUGCAAAGGUAGCAUAAUCAUUAGUCUUUUAAUUGGAGGCUGGAAUGAAUGGUUGGACGAAGUAUAAUCUGUUUCAUUUAAAUUUAUAAUAGAAUUUUAUAUUUUAGUUAAAAAGCUAAAAUAUUAUUAAAAGACGAGAAGACCCUAUAAAUCUUUAUAUUUUAUAUAAUUUAUUUUUUUUUGAUUUAUUUUAUUUUUAUUUUAUAAAAUAUUUUGUUGGGGUGAUAUUAAAAUUUAAUUAACUUUUAUUUUAUUAAAUCAUUAAUUUAUGAUUUUUUGAUCCGUUAAUAACGAUUAUAAGAUUAAGUUACUUUAGGGAUAACAGCGUAAUUUUUUUGGAGAGUUCAUAUCGAUAAAAAAGUUUGCGACCUCGAUGUUGGAUUAAGAUUAAUUUUAGGUGUAGCCGCUUAAAUAUUAAGUCUGUUCGACUUUUAAA